UCAGGCUCCACCCUGCGUCAUCCUUCCUAAUUUAAACCUCCAGCGUAGUGGUUACCCCCCUGCCCCAGAAGGAACCAGGAGGGGAGGCUGGAGGACUGAACGGGGCACGCCAGAAUAAUGCUUUCGUCUCUGGUUCUAGAACCUCUAAUCUCCUAGCAACGGCUGCAGAAGCUUCGCAAACAUUAAGAUUUUCAGAAGAACCAGGAGCAGCACCGUCCUGGCUCCCCCUCUUUCCAGCCUUACCCCCAGACUCCUAUUUCCCAUCCCCUGUGACCCGAAAUAGGGGCCCUUAGACCUCUUCUCCCUUCCUUUCUAGGGUCCCAAGAUUUCUACCCAUCUGCUGAGGGGCAUGGCAUCCACUUCUGCCAAGAAGGAGGAAGACAGCUGGCCACCCGAGGCUGCACGGACCUUGAGUGGAAGGCGGAAGCCUUCAGUAUCUCGUUCUGAAGAAUCCCUGACUCGAAUCAGCGCUGAACUCACAGAAGAGGCCUUGUUUAUUGCUUCCUGCCACAUGUACCCUGAGCCCCUCAAGAAAAAGCAGACAAAAGACCAAGGGACUCAGAUUUCCAAACAUGGACUACUCAGGACCACAGUGUUUAGAGACCCUGCUGCAUGCGUAGUUCCAGUCUUUGAUCCCCUUUCAUCCACAGCUGACCUCUCCAGGAACCUGUCCAUGCCUCCCAUCUCUGAGCCAGCUGAGGGCACUGCACCCCUUCCCCACUAACCCAGUACUGACUCCUCCCUGUGGCCAGGAAUCUCCUUGCCCUCUUCUGCCCCAGUCCUAUGUCUUUCUGGCUUAAGAAAGAGUCAUUUCUCAGACUAGGGCUCUCUUCCAGCCUUCUUCACCAAGACUCCAGGCACUGACACCUGCUGAAAACCAUAGUUGCACCAAGGCACAUCUCCUGACAUCUCAUGAAAAGAACAUGCCUCAAGAGGCCCCUUUUGCAACUCAUUAAACACUUCAUUUUGAGAGGAACUCCUGGUCUUGAGCAGUGUCACCUCUGAAGAGUCUUCCAGAACCAUUGUGUGACUCCACUCAGCCAGUAAAGGCUCCACCAAGAAGAAAAGGCUUCAAUAAAGAACUGGGGAAGCCCCACCAGCACCUCCAACUGGUACUCUGGUGUGGCUCCUCUGGGAUGGAGAUGUGGGAGGAGGAUGAGCCCCCUUUCUUUCCUGAUGCGAAUGCUGGAUGUGGGCACAUUAUAGGAAUGGCUUUCUCUCAGGCAGUGAUCUAUCACCUAGUGGCGGAGGCCAGCUCAUGGACCUAAACCCAGCUUCUCAGCCAAACACUAACACCAUCCUGUUUAGGGUUGUGAUAUCUGGGAGGACUCACUCUUGCUUCUGAGGAGCAGUGGUGGCCUUUGUGGUUGGUGCCAAGGGCCCUGAGCCAUAGCCUCUUGCUCUGAGGAGGAAGGUCCUUGGGGCUUCGUAUCUAGGAGAAUGUAUCACUCUCAUCACUAGCCGGAAGUCAGUCACAAGGCCUCAUGGCAUUUUCAUUGCAGUGGCCUGGGUCACUUAUUUGGGCCACCUGAGGAUGUCAGUUUACUCUCUGAACCUCAGCUUCCUCAUCCAAAAAGUGAGGAUACUAAAUUGACCUGAUUUCACAGAGCACUUGUGGUUGGUGCCAAAAGGACUGCCUACCUGUAAUCCCACUUGGGAGGCUGAAGCAGGAGGAUGUCAAGUUUAAGGCCAGUCUGGUAACUUAGUCCCUGACUCAAAAUAAAAAACACUUUGAAAAAAGGGUGGGGUGCUGAGAUGUAGCUCAGUACUUGCUGCGUUCAAUCCCUAGUACUACAAAACAAAACCCUAUUACAUACAAAGUGCUUAACAUAGUGCUAGAUUGAAAAUGAAUUUAAAAGUGGGUAUGAUGGUGAAAACCUGUGAUCCCAGAGUUCAGAGGCUGAGGUAGGAUGAUUAUAAGUGUGGGCUAGCCUGGGUAACAUAGUGACUUUAAGGCCAGCCUGGAAUACAUAGUGGGAUCCUGUCUCAAAAAACAAAAAAGAAGCUUAAACUAUUAUGAAAAUCGAUUUGCCUCAUGUUCUCCUAAACUCUCCCCCUUUUGAGCACCCCAUCACUGUAUUAAACAUGUUCAGUUGGAC